UGAUGCCGCCCCGGGCAACCGCCCGUGUCGCCCGUAUCUAAAACCGCUACUGAUGAGAUCCAAAUAUAUGCCAAUGUCAACACAUGUUCAUGUUGAUGAGGUUUACUGAACAAAUUUGAAUCAUCACAACAACCAAAAUGUUAGCAACACAUUAUAAAGUUUAUUAUUAUCACUAUGGUAACCAUGUUUAUGUUUGUUACCUGCUAACUCAAACACAUUCUGUAGGUGUCACAUUUUGAGGACUGUAAGUUCACACACUUUCAGACUUUUGCAAACCGGAGUUGGAGAUUGCAGAGAGAAGGCGAAGUGAUAAUAAAGGAGGAUACUGUGGGUGUUGGAGAGGACCCACUGAAAAAUGUGAGUGCACGAAAGGAUCUCACAGAUGAACAUGUGGCCCUGACACUCCAGCCACCUCUUCUGCACCAGUCUCACCUCCAGCUGAGGCUCAGACGAACAAAUCAAAGAAGGCUUCCUGGUGGCGCAGAUGG